ACAACACACAGGGCUGCUUAAAAAUCUGUGUCUAGACGAUGUAAACAACGUGUGGAAGGGAGAGAAUGAUGCAGAGGAGAGAGAGAGAAAAAGCCAUAACCUGAAACAGAAAAUCCCAGUUAAUGAAGUAUCUUCCUUUUUUUGUAGCCUUAUAAUUCUCUGGUUCCUGAAACCCACAGAGAUGUUUAUCAAAACAGCAUCCUUAACUGCGUUUACAACACGUUACCAACAGGCAGACUCACGCACAGGCAGAAGAGAAAGAAUGAGACACCACCAGAAGUUAGCAAGCUGGAUCCUCCUUGCUUUUGCAUCCAGAAGUGCCUGGAACCUCCCAAGCAGAGUACAGGAGGAUGCUGGCCCGCGGUGUGCCACCGACAACUUUCAGCACCACGGACGGCGCCUAUCCCACGUGGGCUCCCGGGCGCUCUCCCCGACCCCAGAUCCCCGAGGAGUCAGAUCGCGGCUGGCCCUUGCCCAACUCCAGUCAGAGACUGCCCCCGCCACCCUUCCCAGAGCGGGUUCAAGAACAACUCAAUGAACCUGAGCUUCGCACAGGCUUGUCACGGGUCUCCGGGGACAGAUGCCCAGGCAGCGCACCAGCCUCACCGGCCGCCAGGCUCAGCAGGAGUCAGUCCCUUUGAAGAGUUUGCUCUCAGGUAAAAGGGCAGACGUUGCACCCGCCCUCUUCUCCGGCUGCGGCCAGAAGAGCGUCUCUUCCUUUCCAUAGUCUCGGUCCGGGCCCGCGAGCCAAGCGGGCCGAGCCGGCUGCGCGCCCAGGCAGGGAGGAAAG